GACGAACGUUUGCGGCGUGCUUAAUACAUGCAAGUCAACUGAAGCAGUGGUAGCAAUAUCGCUGUGGAGGUGGCGCACGGGUGAGUAACACGUAGGUAAUCUCCCUUCAGGUCUGGCAUAACUCCGGGAAACCGGGGCUAAUAGCAGAUGAUGCUGCGGCUCGCCAUCGAGACAUUUGUUAAAGCUAUGGCGCCCGUAUAUGACCCUGCGCCUGCUUAGCUAGUUGGCGGGGUAACGGCCCACCAAGGCAACGAUCAGUAGCUGGUCUGAGAGGAUUAUCAGCCACACUGGAACUGAGACACGAUCAAGACUACUACGGGAGGCAGCAGUAAGGAAUAUUGCUCAAUGGGAGAAAUCCUGAAGCAGCAACGCCGCGUGAGGGACGAAGGGCUUUUGCUUGUAAACCUCUGUAGUGAGAGAAAAAAAUCCCAAUCUUUGGGACAUGAUGGUAUCUCAAAAGUAAGCCCCGGCUAACUACGUG
rnacentral:rRNA from 1 species